rnacentral:rRNA from 1 species
AACCGAGAACUCCUACGGGAGGCAGCAGUGGGGAAUUUUGGACAAUGGGGGCAACCCUGAUCCAGCAAUGCCGCGUGAGUGAAGAAGGCCUUCGGGUUGUAAAGCUCUUUUGUCAGGGAAGAAACGGUAGUAGCUAAUAUCUAUUACUAAUGACGGUACCUGAAGAAUAAGCACCGGCUAACUACGUGCCAGCAGCCGCGGUAAUACGUAGGGUGCAAGCGUUAAUCGGAAUUACUGGGCGUAAAGCGUGCGCAGGCGGUUGUGUAAGUCAGAUGUGAAAUCCCCGGGCUCAACCUGGGAAUUGGAGUUGAGACUGCACGGCUAGGGUGUGUCAGAGGGGGGUAGAAUUCCACGGUGAGCAGUGAAAUGCGUAGAUAUGUGGAGGAAUACCGAUGGCGAAGGGAGCCCCCUGGGAUAACACUGACGCUCAUGCACGAAAGCGUGGGGAGCAAACAGGAUUAGAAACCCCGGUAGGCCGACUGAGA